rnacentral:rRNA from 1 species
AUACGUAGGUGGCAAGCGUUGUCCGGAAUUAUUGGGCGUAAAGCGCAUGUAGGCGGUAAUUUAAGUCUGUCGUGAAACUGCGGGGCUCAGCCCCGUAUGGCGAUGGAAACUGGGUUACUUGAGUGCAGGAGAGGAAAGGGGAACUCCCCGUGUAGCGGUGAAAUGCGUAGAUAUUGGGAAGAACACCGGUGGCGAAGGCGCCUUUCUGGACUUUGUCUGACGCUAAGAUGCGAAAGCCAGGGUAGCGAACGGGAUUAGAUACCCCGGUAGUCCUGGCCGUAAACGAUGGGUACUAGGUGUGGGAGGUAUCGACCCCUUCCGUGCCGGAGUUAACGCAAUAAGUACCCCGCCUGGGGAGUACGGCCGCAAGGCUUAAACUCAAAUGAAUUGACGGGG